UACGUGGGGGGCGAGCGUUGUUCGGAAUUAUUGGGCGUAAAGGGUGCGUAGGCGGUUUGGUAAGUCUUAUGUGAAAUCUAUGGGCUCAACUCAUAGACUGCAUGAGAAACUGCCGGGCUUGAGUAUGGGAGAGGUGAGUGGAAUUCCUGGUGUAGCGGUGAAAUGCGUAGAUAUCAGGAGGAACACCUGUGGCGAAAGCGGCUCACUGGACCAUAACUGACGCUGAUGCACGAAAGCUAGGGGAGCAAACAGG
rnacentral:rRNA from 1 species